rnacentral:rRNA from 1 species
UACAGAGGUCUCAACCGUUGUUCGGAUUCAUUGGGCGUAAAGGGUGCGUAGGCGGUCGCGCAAGUCGGAUGUGAAAUCUUAGGGCUCAACCCUGAAACUGCAUUCGAUACUGCGUGGCUCGAGUACUGGAGAGGAGACUGGAAUUUACGGUGUAGCAGUGAAAUGCGUAGAUAUUGGGAAGAACACCUGAGGCGAAGGCGGGUUGCUGGGCUGAUACUGACGCUGAGGCGCGAAAGCCAGGGGAGCAAACGGGG